UUUGAGUUCAUUCUUUGCCGAAUCUCGUUUGGCAGAGAAUACCUCUAGAUUUUUUGCAAGGUGGCAAAUUUAGAGCAGCAGCAGAUAAUUACAUUAGGCCUCCCUUAACUAAGGGAGUUCCAUCUCUUUUCUCUGAUCUUUCGUCUUUGUAUAAUCACCCUGGGAAGGCAGACAUUUUGGAAUAACUUAUUCUUGUAUUUUUUCACAGCGCUCUUCAAGCUAAGAGGUAAUUUAGUAAAGGAGGAAUUCAAGAAAUUAUUGUAGCAUUUAUACUGAGCAUCAC